GUGUCAGCAGCCGCGGUAAUACGGAGGGCGCAAGCGUUGCUCGGAAUCACUGGGCGUAAAGGGGGCGCAGGCGGUCCUGUAAGUCGGGUGUGAAAGCCCUCGGCUCAACCGAGGAAUUGCACUCGAUACUGCAGGACUUGAGUUCGGUAGAGGGAAGCGGAAUUCCUGGUGUAGCGGUGAAAUGCGUUGAUAUCAGGAGGAACACCGGUGGCGAAGGCGGCUUCCUGGACCGUAACUGACGCUGAGGCCCGAAAGCGUCGGGGAGCAAACCGGAUUAGAUACCCGGGUAGUCCACGCCCUAAACGAUGGGUGCUAGCUGUCGGUCCACUGCGGUGGGUCGGUGGCGAAGCUAACGCGUUAAGCACCCCGCCUGGGGACUACGGCCGCAAGGCUAAAACUUAAAUGAAUUGACGGGG
rnacentral:rRNA from 1 species